UACGAGGGGAGCAAGCGUUGUUCGGAUUUACUGGGCGUAAAGGGUGCGUAGGCGGAACCACAAGUCACUUGUGAAAUCUUUGGGCUUAACCCAAAGCGGCCAAGUGAUACUGUGGAGCUAGAGUGCAGAAGGGGUAACUGGAAUUCCCGGUGUAGCGGUGAAAUUCGUAGAUAUCGGGAGGAACACCUGCGGCGAAGGCGGCUUGCUGGGCUGACACUGACGCUGAGGCACGAAAGCUAGGGUAGCAAACGGG
rnacentral:rRNA from 1 species